UCUACAUUUUGAACCUUACUUUUGAGGUGAA
rnacentral:piRNA from 1 species